rnacentral:rRNA from 1 species
UACGUAGGGUGCAAGCGUUAUCCGGAAUUAUUGGGCGUAAAGAGCUCGUAGGCGGUUUGUCGCGUCUGCUGUGAAAACUGGAGGUUCAACCUCCAGCCUGCAGUGGGUACGGGCAGACUAGAGUGCGGUAGGGGAGAUUGGAAUUCCUGGUGUAGCGGUGAAUGCGCAGAUAUCAGGAGGAACACCGAUGGCGAAGGCAGGUCUCUGGGCUGUAACUGACGCUGAGGAGCGAAAAGCAUGGGG